AUGGAGUCAAACACCCUCCUCCUAUGCAUGCUGCUGCUCAGUGUUCCAGGUUCCACUGGGGACAUUGUGCUGACCCAGUCUCCAGCUUCUUUGGCUGUGUCUCUGGGAGAAAAAGUUACCAUCUCUUGCAAGUCCAGUGAGAGUGUCGAAGAAUAUGGUGUAAAUAGUCUGCAGUGGUAUCAACAGAAACCAGGACAGCCCCCCAAACUUCUCAUCUAUGGAGCAUCCAAUACAGAAUCUGGGGUCCCUGCCAGAUUCAGUGGCAGUGGGUCUGGGACAGACUUCACCUUCACCAUCAAUCCUGUGGAGGCUGAUGAUGCUGCAAUCUAUCACUGUCAGCAGGGUAAAGAGCUUCCUCCCACAGUGCUCCAGGGCUAA